rnacentral:rRNA from 1 species
GCAUAUCAAUAAGCGGAGGAAAAGAAACCAACAGGGAUUGCCCCAGUAACGGCGAGUGAAGCGGCAACAGCUCAAAUUUGAAAUCUGGCCCUCGGGUCCGAGUUGUAAUUUGUAGAGGAUGCUUUUGGCGAGGUGCCUUCCGAGUUCCCUGGAACGGGACGCCAUAGAGGGUGAGAGCCCCGUCUGGUCGGACACCGAGCCUCUGUAAAGCUCCUUCAACGAGUCGAGUAGUUUGGGAAUGCUGCUCAAAAUGGGAGGUAUAUGUCUUCUAAAGCUAAAUAUUGGCCAGAGACCGAUAGCGCACAAGUAGAGUGAUCGAAAGAUGAAAAGCACUUUGAAAAGAGGGUUAAAAAGUACGUGAAAUUGUUGAAAGGGAAGCGCCUAUGACCAGACUUGCGCCCGGUGAAUCAUCCAGCGUUCUCGCUGGUGCACUUUGCCGGGCACAGGCCAGCAUCAGUUUGGCGCGGGGGAAAAAGGCUUCGGGAAUGUGGCUCCCUCGGGAGUGUUAUAGCCCGCUGCGUAAUACCCUGCGCCGGACUGAGGUACGCGCAUCGCAAGGAUGCUGGCGUAAUGGUCAUCAGCGACCCGUCUUGAAACACGGACCAAGGAGUCGUCUUCGUAUGCGAGUGUUCGGGUGUCAAACCCCUACGCGUAAUGAAAGUGAACGUAGGUGAGAGCUUCGGCGCAUCAUCGACCGAUCCUGAUGUUCUCGGAUGGAUUUGAGUAAGAGCAUACGGGGCCGGACCCGAAAGAAGGUGAACUAUGCCUGUAUAGGGUGAAGCCAGAGGAAACUCUGGUGGAGGCUCGCAGCGGUUCUGACGUGCGAAUCGAUCGUCAAAUAUGGGCAUGGGGGCGAAAGACUAAUCGAACCUUCUAGUAGCUGGUUUCCGCCGAA